rnacentral:rRNA from 1 species
GCCCUACGGGGUGCAGCAGGCGCGAAAACUUUACAAUGCUGGAAACAGCGAUAAGGGGACCUCGAGUGCCAGGUUACAAAUCUGGCUGUCGUGAUGCCUAAAAAGCAUUGCAUAGCAAGGGCCGGGCAAGACCGGUGCCAGCCGCCGCGGUAACACCGGCGGCUCGAGUGGUAACCGUUAUUAUUGGGUCUAAAGGGUCUGUAGCCGGCCGGAUAAGUCUCUUGGGAAAUCCAGCAGCUCAACUGUUGGGCUUUCAGGAGAUACUGUCUGGCUCGAGGCCGGGAGAGGUGAGAGGUACUUCGGGGGUAGGGGUGAAAUCUUGUAAUCCUUGAAGGACCACCAGUGGCGAAGGCGUCUCACCAGAACGGACCUGACGGCAAGGGACGAAAGCUAGGGGCACGAACCGGAUUAGAUACCCGGGUAGUCCUAGCCGUAAACGAUACUCGCUAGGUGUCGGCCACGGUGCGACCGUUGUCGGUGCCGUAGGGAAGCCGUGAAGCGAGCCACCUGGGAAGUACGGCCGCAAGGCUGAAACUUAAAGGAAUUGGCGGGGGAGCAC